GCGUUAUCCGGAUUCACUGGGUUUAAAGGGUGCGUAGGCGGGCAGGUAAGUCUGUGGUGAAAUCUCUGAGCUUAACUCAGAAACUGCCAUGGAUACUAUUUGUCUUGAAUAUUGUGGAGGUAAGCGGAAUAUGUCAUGUAGCGGUGAAAUGCGUAGAUAUGAGGUAGAACACCAAUGGCGAAGGCAGCCUACUGGACAGUUACUGACGCUGAGGCACGAAAGCGUG
rnacentral:rRNA from 1 species